UCUCGAUGGUAGUGUAUUGGACUACCAUGGCAAUCACGGGUAACGGGGAAUUAGGGUUCGAUUCCGGAGAGGGAGCCUGAGAAGCGGCUACCACAUCUAAGGAAGGCAGCAGGCGCGUAAAUUACCCAAUCCUGAUUCAGGGAGGUAGUGACAAGAAAUAACAACUCGGGGGCUCACGCCUUACGAGAUUGCAAUGAGGACAAUCUAAUAGACAUUAUCGAGGAACAAUUGGAGGGCAAGUCUGGUGCCAGCAGCCGCGGUAAUUCCAGCUCCAAUAGCGUAUAUUAAAGUUGUUGCAGUUAAAAAGCUCGUAGUUGAACUUCUGGCGGGCCCCAUCCUGGCUUCGGUCGGGUUAGGGCCUGUCAUCCGUCAGAGAACCUGGGUCGUCCUUCACUGGUCGCUUAGGGGAUCUGGCACUUUACUUUGAAAAAAUUAGAGUGUUCAAGGCAGGCCAUUGCCCUGAAUAUACAAGCAUGGAAUAAUGGAAUAGGACUAAUGUCCAUUUUGUUGGUUAUUGGACUUUAGUAAUAAUUAAUAGGGACAGUUGGGGGCAUUAGUAUUUAAUUGUCAGAGGUGAAAUUCUUGGAUUUAUUAAAGACUAACUUAUGCGAAAGCAUUUGCCAAGGAUGUUUUCAUUAAUCAAGAACGAAAGUUAGGGGAUCAAAGACGAUCAGAUACCGUC
rnacentral:rRNA from 1 species